AAUCAACGCUGGCGGCGUGCCUAACACAUGCAAGUCGAGCGAGAAAAGGGGGGCAACUCCCUGAGUACAGCGGCGCACGGGUGAGUAACACGUGGGUAAUCUGCCCUGGAGUGGGGAAUAACACCGGGAAACCGGUGCUAAUACCGCAUACGAUAACGAGGUCUGCGGAUCUUGUUAUGAAAGGAGCAAUUCGCUCCAGGAGGAGCCCGCGGCUGAUUAGCUAGUUGGUGAGGUAAUGGCUCACCAAGGCUACGAUCAGUAUCCGGUCUGAGAGGACGGUCGGACACACUGGAACUGAGACACGGUCCAGACUCCUACGGGAGGCAGCAGUAGGGAAUUUUUGGCAAUGGGGGAAACCCUGACCAAGCAACGCCGCGUGGGUGAUGAAGUCUCUUGGGACGUAAAACCCUUUCGACGGGGAAGAAACCGCAAGGUUGACGGUACCCGUAGAAGAAGCCCCGGCUAACUCCGUGCCAGCCGCCGCAGUAAUAC
rnacentral:rRNA from 1 species